rnacentral:rRNA from 1 species
GAUGAACGCUAGCGGCAGGCCUAAUACAUGCAAGACGAACGGUAAGUUGAGUAGCAAUACUUAGCCAAGAGUGUCGUACGGGUGCGUAACACGUAUGCAACCUACCCUAUACAGGAGGAUAGCCUAGGGAAACCUGGAUUAACCCUUCAUAGUAUUAUUGGAUGGCAUCAUUUGAUAAUUAAAACUGAGGUGGUAUAGGAUGGGCAUGCGUCUGAUUAGUUAGUUGGCGGGGUAAUGGCCCACCAAGACGAUGAUCAGUAGGGGUUCUGAGAGGAAGAUCCCCCACACUGGCACUGAGAUACGGGCCAGACUCCUACGGGAGGCAGCAGUAGGGAAUAUUGGCAAUGGAUGCAAGUCUGAACCAGCCAUGCCGCGUGCAGGAAGAAGGGCCUUCGUGGGUUGUAAACU